UACGAGGGGGGCAAGCGUUGUUCGGAAUUAUUGGGCGUAAAGGGCGCGUAGGCGGGUGCUCAAGUCCGGGGUGAAAUCCCACAGCUCAACUGUGGAAUUGCCUCGGAUACUGGGUGUCUCGAGGGUGGUAGGGGUAUGCGGAACUAUCGGUGGAGCGGUGAAAUGCGUUGAUAUCGAUAGGAACUCCGGUGGCGAAGGCGGCAUACUGGACCACUUCUGACGCUGAGGCGCGAAAGCCAGGGGGAGCGAACGGGG
rnacentral:rRNA from 1 species